AAGACCCCACGCUCCACAUCCCCUAGAACUCUCAUCUCCUGUGGCCCAACAUGGCCCUUCCUUUCAGCAGUGGGAUGUGGGAAGGAUCAAGGUCACCCUUGUCCAAAUCCCAUGCAGACAACGGUGUUGGAGUCUUGGGCCCAAAGACCAGCUCCUAGAACCUGCAGGGAAGCAACGGCACGUUCCAUCUCUCCCCAUGCCACUGAGGAAUCAUUGGUGGCAGGAUUCUCAGCAGGCAUGGCCGUGGGUGCACAGAACAGAGAAAGGAUGGCCUGGACCACACACAUCACUGUGUGCAGAUGCUUUCCUAGACACUGCAGCCAAGGACACAGAGGCUCAGAGAGGUAAAGAAACUUACCCAAGGUCACACAGCCACUAAGCACCAAGAGUACUCUGUGUCGACCCCAAAGCCCUGGUCUUUCCACUCUACCAUGAGCCCUGGGUUUCCUGGUGUCUCAGAUUCCCCUACAGUUUUUCUUUCUUUUCUUUCCUUCCUUCUUUCUUUCUUUCUUUCUUUCUUUCUUUCUUUCUUUCUUUCUUUCUUUCUUUCUUUCUUUCAUCUUUCUUUCUUUUUCUUUUCUUUUUUUCUUUCUUUCUUUCUUUCUUUCUCUCUUUCUUUCUCUCUCUCUCUCGCUCUCGCUCUGUCACUCAGGCUGGAGUACAGUGUGAGCUAAGAUCGCGCCACCGCACUCCAGCCUGGGUGACAAAGCAAGACUCCGUCUCAAGAAAAAACAAAAAACAUGGGACCCCAAACUCACUAUGCCAAAGGGAAAUGUUAAGCUUGGGAACUGAGUCAUUCAAUAGCCUUUUGUCCCUAAGCAGAUGGCUGUAAGACAGAAGGUCACCUAUCUCCCGGGUGGCUUCCCUCACCCUGGUCAUGUAAAUUCACAGCUUAUCUUCACAGGCAGGGGACAAAGACAAGAAUAGAAAUUAUCGCUCUGUCCACCCAAGACAAAUACGUAUUUAACUUCCUCUAUUCUGUUUACAUUAUCUUAUGUAAAAUGCAGAUUUACUGAGCACAGGAUGAAUACAUCAUUAACUAUUCCUCUUCUUUUAUUUUUUUAUUUUUUGAGACAGUCUCACUGUUUUCCAGGCUGGAGUGCAGUGGCAUGAUUUUGGCUCACUGCAACCUCCGCCUACUGAGUUCGAGUGAUUCUUGUGCCUCAGCCUCCAGAGUAGCCAGGAUUACAGGCACCCGCCACCACGCGUGUUGAAUUUUUUGUAUUUUUAGUAGAGAUGGGGUUUCAUUAUGCUGCCCAUUAUGCUCCUGACCUCAGGUGAUCCACCUGCCUUGGCCUUCCAAAGUGCUGGGAUUACAAGCGUGAGCCACUGUGCCCAGCCCCCCUCUUUCCCCUUUAAAUACCAAAGUCCUCAAAAUCCUCUCUGGAAAAAAGCACAGGCCACAGACCCUAUUGCAGCUUGAGUCUCUUUUUCCUGGCUGUGUCCUCCACCAUGGCAAAAUAAAUCUCUAAAUCGAU
rnacentral:lncRNA from 10 species